rnacentral:rRNA from 1 species
UGAACGCUGGCGGCGUGCUUAACACAUGCAAGUCGAACGAACCUUCGGGUUAGUGGCGGACGGGUGAGUAACGCGUGGGAAUCUGCCCUCAGGAGGGGGAUAACGGUUGGAAACGGCCGCUAAUACCCCAUAUGCCGAGAGGUGAAAUGAAUUUCGCCUGAGGAUGAGCCCGCGUCUGAUUAGCUAGUUGGUGAGGUAAGAGCUCACCAAGGCAUCGAUCAGUAGCUGGUCUGAGAGGAUGAUCAGCCACACUGGGACUGAGACACGGCCCAGACUCCUACGGGAGGCAGCAGUGGGGAAUUUUCCGCAAUGGGCGAAAGCCUGACGGAGCAACGCCGCGUGAGGGAUGAAGGCCUCUGGGCUGUAAACCUCUUUUAUCAAGGAAGAAGAUCUGACGGUACUUGAUGAAUAAGCCACGGCUAAU